ACAGUUAUACAGUUGCAAGUCUGUUGAGGAGGAAUGGCGCUACCCCUUCCAUAGUACUCUUCCUCUAUAUUUAUCUUAUAAAAGUUUAUGCUGCGUUGUUUAUACUUCGAAAUAACCCAGAAAGAUUUUCAUAAUAAAUUUUAUAGUCGUUUCUUUUUAAGUGAUUUAUUAAGUAAAUAAAUAAAUAUAUGUCUUGUAUUAAAAAUGUCUUCAGGUAUACUGAGACAAGGACAACGAAUGGCAGUAAAACUGCAUGUCAAAAAUUAUGGUGGUUAUUCGUAUUACAGUUACAGAUCAAGAAACGAAACAAGUUACCUCAGAUGUUACGAUCGUAACGGUGGAGGUUGCCCUGCAAUUGGAAAAAUCGUUAAUGGUGAACCUCUUUAACAAUUAACCACAACCAUGACAGAAACCGUUGUUAUGUGGACAGAAUGAUUUUCAAAAAGCAUUGUACAAGGCGACGAUCAAUCGACCUUUUCAGUCAAUGCGUUUAAUUUAUGAUCAUCUAAGUCAAUUGCACUCGGUAGCAGCUACAAGUUUAACAUGGGUUAAGAUGCAACCUGCAAUGCAACGAUGGCGUUCAAAAGUUCGUCCACAACAUCCUGCAAAUUCUAGAGAUCUCAUGGAAUAUGCAGAACAACUUCAACUACCUCAAUGGCAACAUUUAAUUCGUUAUAACAAUGGUGAAUUGAAUGUACACACUAUUCCAGUUACUGAUGGAUCAUUUGUUACUGUUAUUAGUGACGUUAACUUUUUGGGAUUAUUAAAUCCUACAACUUUUUUUAUGGAUGCAACCUUUAA